UGGAGAGAGAAGGGUUUCCUUGAUCGGAGACUAAGAUUUUUGGCUGCACGGACACACAGGAGGAAGGUGAGCUGAUGCCUCAGCCCUGCGUUAGAGCCACAUAAUGGAAUAGGACGGAAGGUGAAAGACUCAUAGCAGAGGAGCAGAGAAAGUGGGAAUCCAGAGCUUUCUAGGAUCUUCUUAAAGGAAUCACCCGCUGAGAACACGACUUUAAAUUCCCGGAGUCCCCUUGGAAAGGAAAUCAGGCAUCAGCAGCUCCCACGUCCAUCCCCUGGGCAUCAGGCACCUUCCAGCCCCUGGGGGGGGUUGGGGGGUCACUUCCAUGCUCCCCCUCAUUCCCCUGGAAACUUUGCUACCGUAGUUCCAAGUUCUGCCGGCGUUCCCUU